rnacentral:sRNA from 1 species
UUCCGGUCAGUUGCCUGAUGUAGUGCAG